UACGGGGGGAGCAAGCGUUGUUCGGAUUUACUGGGCGUAAAGGGCGCGUAGGCGGCCACCGCAAGUCAAUUGUGAAAUCUCUGGGCUUAACCCAGAAAGGUCAACCGAUACUGCGGGGCUAGAGUGCAGAAGGGGCAACUGGAAUUCUCGGUGUAGCGGUGAAAUGCGUAGAUAUCGAGAGGAACACCUGCGGCGAAGGCGGGUUGCUGGGCUGACACUGACGCUGAAGCGCGAAAGCUAGGGGAGCGAACGGG
rnacentral:rRNA from 1 species